GACUUACAGACCCUAUUUGGACACAUGUGUCGUGACAGUUAGAUGCGAUACCUGCGGCAGGUGUGACGUGUUGCAGUACCGACAUAGUGAAGCUUAGACGAUAUAGUUCUACAGGGAUCAAUUGAGGUGUCGGGUGAAAGUAGAUCUGCUUGAAGUCUGACAGCACGGCGAGAUACACAGCAGCAUCUUCAUAGUCAUUAUGGAUCUUAGUGACAAAAGAAUACCAUCAUCUGCAGAAUACAAUCUGAACUAUAAAGUUAAUGGGCUGAUGCAUGCUUUGUUAAAUCAAGCUCAUGUUACAAGAUCAUUGAGACUUUGAUUUAACUGUCUGACUCAGUUUAAAUAUCAACAUGUUUACCUACCAGCUGCAGAACCAUGGCUGUCAGGUGGAUUUAUGUUGAGGCAGCACAUCAGGAAUCGUGCAUCAGACACUCCCAUCUUAGUCUUGGUGAGGGCCAGUACCAGUCCAUCAUUGAGGGCACCCGAUUCCGGUCCUCGUGCCUUCUUGACAAUUGUGUAGAGCUGCAUGUCUGGUGAGUGGAAAUGGCAGUUUAAGCAAAUGGCUCUGCCAGUCACAAAUAGUCCUAGCCUCUUAGAAUUUGAUAGUCAUUGAAGGUCUGGCACACUGGUGAGCUGUAGAACUUUGUAGAAGUAGACCUAAGGAAUGUACAUUAGCAAUAAUGUUUUUCUCACUGUUGAUUUCCUCUUCGU